rnacentral:rRNA from 1 species
AAUCACAGCUGGAUCACCUCCUUAGAGUAUUGAUCAUGCUCAGGCUGGAUCACCUCCUUAGUGUAUGAUCAUGGCUCAGAGUUGAUCAUGGCUGGAUACACCUCCUAUAGAGUAGAUCAUGGCUACAGUGCUGGAUCACCUACCUUAGAGUUUGAUCAUAGGCUACAGAUAUGAACGCUGGCUGGCAGGCUUAACACAUGCAAGUCGAGCGGGGAAGGGUAGCUUGCUACCUAACCUAGCGGCGGACGGGUGAGUAAUGCUAUAGGAAUCUAGCCAUUUAAGUAGGGGGACAACAUAUCCGAAAGGAAUAGCUAAAUACCGCAUACGUACCUACGGGAGGAAAGCAGGGGAUACUNUCGGGACCUAGGCGCUAAAAUUGAUUGAGCCCAAAGGUUCGGAUAAGCUAAGAAGGGGGGGGNAAAAGGGCCUAACCCAAGGGGCCGAAUAGAAUCAGAAGCCGAG